rnacentral:lncRNA from 1 species
CCUUGAAUAAAGGCUUUGCCUUUCAAACUCUGUCCUGCCCAUUUUUCUUUGACAUGUUCAGAUGUUGGCAAGGCUGAAAACUGCAGGGGAUCUGGUUGUGAUAAUCCAGGCCUGAAUAUAUACAAAUAUGAACAAGACCCACAAGGACUGCUCAUCACCCCAGUAUUCCAUUUACAACAUCCUGAAUGAACUCCCGACCAGGCCUAUAAUUCUCUCUUGCAGCCAAAUAUCCUGCUUACUCCUGGUAUCUACCUGGUCAGCAGACCUCAUGAGUUAUCGCCCAGUGACAAAACCAUCCCAAAGAUGCACCAGUCCAGCACAAAGUAUGACUGUCAAUCUCACAAAAGAUGUAGGGUUCUACGAGGAUACUCAGAGUAUAAGAAUUACGCUAAGUGAAAUAAGCCAAGCCCAGAAAGACACAUACUUUAUUAUUUCAUGUAUCUGUGGAAUCUAAAAGAGUCAAAUUCAUGGCAGCAGGGAGAGGGCUGAAGAAGGGGGAGAUGUUGAUCAAAGUUUCUAUGUAUACAAAGACCAAACCAUCACAUUAUGCCUCAUAAAUAUAUACAAUUAUUAUUUGCUAAUUACAAGUAAAGCAAUACAAGAAGAAAAAAAGGAAUCAUAAGUAAAUCCAUGACAAGUGAAAACGCAAUGGAGAGAAGGGAAUCAAUGAUUGAAGAAGAGAAAGG